GUGUCUUUGGAUCAUUUCCCUGCGGAGAGGCCAAGGCAGGCCUGAGGGCCCCAGAAGGGGGCUCCCUCCCAGAGGCUGCUCUUAGCCUCCACCACCACCCCCCAGCCACCGUGCUGGCCUGCUCAGCUGGGACACUAGGCAGAGAAACCACAAAUAAUUCAGCUGUUUAGGAGAACAUCAGUCUGGGUUUCCACGGCAACACCCUCUGGAGCCAGCUGUCCCAGCAGCUGACAGCGCAGGGCCAGGCCAGCCCGCAUCUCCAGUUGGAGCAGAGGAAAUGGGUCCACUCUGGCUUCGGAAUCUCCAGGCUGGGGUCCUCCAAGAGGAGGCUGGGCCGGAGGAUCUUGGAAACCCACCGGCCACGGGGUGAGUAGAACGAGGGCCUGGGAGAGGGAAGUCUGAAAUCGCAGAGCAACCCCACCCCCCGUCAUUACACAUCACAUCGGCCGCCUUUCGGGCGGGCACAUGACACAGGCGUCACCUGUGCCUUCCCAGCUCAGCUUCCGCACCCUGCAAGGUGAGUCCCGCUGCGGCCCCACUGGGCAGGUGGGCAAGCAGGGGCCCAACGGGAAUCCGUGGCUCGCCUCUGGUUCCAGAUCCUGUUUCUGCUCAUGUCUCGAUCUGUGGCUGCCGGCUCCCUCUCACCUGGCUCCCAGAGUGUGGGUCCCCCAGGGGCCUCUGCCUGGCCAGCCUCUAAAGGAGCAGAGGAUGGGCUGCUGCCCCCAGGGACCCCUGGGGAUAACAGGAGCUGGUGUCUCCUGAGGGCUUGCUGUGCGAUGCCCGGUUCGUGGUGCUUUUUAUGCCCUGUCUCUUUCCUUCUCUGAGAGGGGAUGUGCUCUUCUUACCUAUCCUGCUUAGGAGAAAAGGGGGGCUCAAGGAGGGGAAGGGGGUUGUCCAGAGUCACACAGCUCCUAAGUGGUGGGGCCUCGGUGAGACAGGCAGGGACCUGGGACCCUUGGCUGUGGUGCUGCCGUGCUGGCACCUGGACAAACGUCUCCUUGAGCAACAAAAUACAAAGAAACUAUAAGGGACUAAAAAUAACUGCAUGCAUGCGCAGUUGGGGCAAAUUAUGGACAAGAAGAUACAAAAAGACCAAAAACCCGACUGCCACUCGGGGUGUCGUUAGCAAAGCAGGGCACUGCGCGUGCCCGCUGCACACAGCACCACCAGAGGGCUGGGCGAACCCCCUAAGUCACCCCAGGACACACCCCCUACCCGCCCCCCAUAGAAGGAACGAGCUGCCCCCCCUCGGGAAGUGAGCGAGGGAACCUGUUACUUGUUCUCACUCCCUCCUGCUGCACCAGGGGCCCCAGUACAGCCUUGCCUGAAUCUCUUGUCUGGCCUCUGAUCCAUUUCUAUUGAUUAAGGGGGCCAAGAGCCCUGGUCGGUAACACAGGUGUGAGCCAGACUGACUCAGAACACGUACCAAAGAUGCCCUCAUGGUGGCCCUGUGGACACUGGUGUGACUCACGCCUCCAGGAGCCCCUUCAAUCCUGAGAUGCCCAAACUGUCCACAGGCCCUACCCCAGGACAGAGCAGAACUUUAGGGGACGCAGCGUCUCAACCACUCCGGAGCCUGGGAGCAGGCCCUGCAGACUGCCCUUGGGGCCCCCGAGGUCAGGUAAGUCCUGAGCUGGGGGCCCGGGCAGGUGCACAGAAACUGCAGUGAGCUGCUGCUAUCCAGGACCUCACCAUCUAGGGUAGGAAAGAGGUGUGCACAGCAGCCACAGAGCCACAAACCAUGUCAUCUGUGUGACCCUGAGAGCUUUUAGUGGCAACGAGGAUGGUUCCUGGAGGAGGGGCUCGAGGGCUGGAAGCAGUGUGGAGCCUGAGAUGUAUAGAGACUGAGGAGUCUGGGAGGCCAGGGAGACCAGGCAGACCACAGCCAGCGGGAAAUGCAGUUCUGCUGACUAGGCACGGGAAGUGGCCAACCUGCGGGUGGCUGACGGGCGGGACCAGAGCGGGCACAAUGCAAUGUAACUUUUAGUCGGUGAGGAAAACACGGGGGAGACACAUAAGACAAAACAGAGGUAGAGUUAGUGGUCAAGAUAUAUGUCAUGAGGUCCUCUGUAUGUGCUGCUGGCUACAGUGGCAAAUUUGAUUCUGAGCUCCCUGGCAGCCAAUGCAAAAAGGGAAGACCAUUCUGCCAUUCAGUCAACGAGACAUGCAGGAUAAAACAGACAAGCUGCUUGGGAGAUGCUGGACUACAGCUACUUGUGAAAAAGAAGAGGAGUUUCUUGUCAAGAUUGACUUGAUGAUGCCUGCAGGCAUAGCAGCGGGACAACAUCCCUGCACAAGGUGAUGUCUUGAAGUAUCCCUGGGGAUAGUAGUAUGGCUAAGACCUCCUGCAAGGGAUAAGCCUGGGAAGACAGGCAGGCAGCAGUCUCCUGGCCAGGCUUCUUCAAGCUGUGUUUGAGCACAGCUUCUCAGCAGGAGUAGGGCAUAGCUAAAUGCAAACCUUGCAACCCCCAUACCCACAAGGUUCUACAAAGCCCCUGCCCCCCUUGCAGAUGGGACCCAACCGCAGUGCUCAGGUGCGCCAUGAGUGGGUGGGAGGCACUGCCUUGGAACCUGCCCUUUACACUUGGCUGCACUCUUGAAUCACCUACAAGUUUGCAAGACCCGUCUCUGGAUCCACCCCCAGUUCUGCUGGGAUCCUGGAGCAUAUGCCCCAAACAUCCAUAUUUUCGAUCUUGUGGGCCACACGUGGUCCCUGACUACUCAACUCUGCCUUUGUUGGAAGGAGCUGUAGACGCAGGGGCGUGCCAGUGUUCCCAUCCCUGCACACUGAACUGGGAAUUCUCUGUAGCUGUCGUGUGUCACAAACGAUUCUUCUUCUUUUGAUGUUUUUUUAAUUGAAUGUUUUUCAAGCAUUAAAAAUUAUUUAACUAACCAUCUUCACUCACAGCUGUGCAAAAACAAGCAGCCGAUUUGAUCCAGGAACUGUAGUUUGCUAACUCCUGAUUGAGAAUGAAACACCCCUGUACACUAAAGAAGGUGAGCGUUUGCCGAAAGGGAAACAGCAAGCUUUAGUUCACGUUUGCUUUUGUUUUUGUAAUCUUUGGCAAACAAUUGCGUUAAGUCUCCCUGUUGUUCUGACUUGCAUUUUUUUAAAAAAAUUUAUUUUAUUUAUUCAACUAUGGUUGAUUUAUAAUAUUGUGUUAGUUUCAGGUGUACAGCUUCAGAUUUUUUUCCAUUCUAGGUUAUUACAAGAUACUGAAUAUAGUUCCCUAUGCGAUACAGUAAAUCCUUGUUUUUUAUCUAUUUUGUGUAUAGUGGUGUGCAUCCGUUAAUCCCGUACUUCUAAUUCAUCCCUCCCCACUUCCCCUUUGGUAACCAGAAGUUUGUUUUCUAUGUCUGUGAGUCUAUUUCUGUUUUGUAAAUAAGUUGAUUUGUAGGGUUUUUUUUAGAUUCCACAUAUAAGUGAUAUCAUAGGAUAUUCGUCUUGUUCUGUCUGACUUCACUUAGUAUGAUAAUUUCUAGGUCCAUCCAUGUUGCCGCUGAUUUGCAUUUUUUUUCAUGGUGAUGGUCUAUGGUGGGGUUGUUCACACAUGGUGGGUUUGUCCUCCUGGGCUCAGGGAGGGCUUGUACUUCCCAUGGAUGCAAUCCUGAGAGCCAGGGUCUCUAUACCCUUCCUCUGCCACCCUUUCCCCCAGUGAUCUUGACAAUGAGCAGAGACCCUGCUGCUUUCCACUUGACAGGUAGCAUGAGCAAGAAAUAAACUUUUAUAGUUUUAAGCCCCUGAAAUUUUGGGGAUGUUUGUUAUGACGGCAUAACCCAGACUAUGCAUCUGUUAGCAGCCUGUAUUUAUUUUUUCAACAGUUUUUUUCACGUCCCUGGUAAUUUUCUAUUGACUUAUAUUAUUUUGCUAUAUUCAUUUUUCAGAGCUGCGGAUGUGUCAAAAAUAUUAACCCUUCUAGUGAUGUGAUUAUUUGGUUACCAGCUGGAAAUCUCCUUAAAAGGCGAUUGGCCCUAGGAUUUAACUGCUGUCAGGAAGAAGGACAGAGAUCCAAUGUUUCUGCAACUGGAAUCAUCAUUUUUAGCAUACUUCUUUCGACGUGUCACUAACUGAGCGUUAACAAAUCUGUUUCAACUUGCUUGAUUACCUGUGGGUACCUGUUUCAACCACUUUAUCUCGGCAGGCUCACGGGGCAGUUUCAGUGUUCAAAGCUGGAUCUUGUACUUGCACUGGCCCAGAGAUUGUUUUAAGAAAUGAUUUUUUUUAAAUAAUUGGGCUUGGCAGGAAGGAUGACAGCAGCUUUUCUCAGAACACAGCUCCAUGAAACCAGUUCCUGAAAAACACGGCAUCUGGGAGGCAGAGUUUUAUGCCCAGAGAAUCAGGGGAGAUCUGCACGUGCCUUUGUGAAAAUGGUGUUGCAGAAUCAUCCCUGGCCCUGAGUGGGGGUGGCUGCUCAAGGCCGGUAACACCAGCUCCUUAACCUCUUUGCCCAGGGAACGCUCUCUGCCAGCAAAGCCGUGAAAUAAGUGUGUGGAACAACGGCUUUGGGAGAAGUUCACCUGAAGAGUGAAAUUCGGGGUCUCAUCGCCCAUUUAACCAGGGCUUGGAGCAGAGCCUGAAUUAUUUUUAGAGGACCCCCCUGGCCGUUGGCUAACCCCCUUUCCAAGAUGGGUUGCCUUCCUUUUAGCCUUGAGGCUUAUGGGGCUGCCCUCCCUCCCCACCAUCCCCUGGGACUGGGUUCCACGGGAAAGCCACCCCAAUUCUCUGCUGCUGGACACUUGCUAAACUCUGAGUCCCGGGCUUUGCACGGAGGACAGGUAAUCCAGCUUACCUGGAGCCAAGGUUCUAAACCUGGCUGCAUGGGAGAAUCACCUGGGAGCUUUGAAAAUUCCUCAGGCCUGGACCGCACCCAGAGCAGAUUAGAUCUAGACCCUCAUGGGGCCGACACCUCAGGCCUGGGAAGGUUCUGGGUGGCCAGAUCCCCGAGUGGGACCAAGCUUGGCCAGAACGGCUGGAGCCUGGUGGGGAAGGGAAGGAGGGAGGUGGUGUGGCCAGCGGGCAGACCACCAGAAGGGGCUUUAGCUGCUUGAAAGGUGAUGCCGCUGGUGCCCGCUCUCUGUGUACACGUCCCCGGGCUGUGCUUUGUUUCAAGAUGGUGAUGGGAGUGCCUGGCCAGCGUUGGCUGCCCUUAAACUCUGACAUACACAAGCCACCCCCAGCCCUGCUCCUACCCCACUGCAAGAACCUGUGUGCCACAGGGAUACGGAGACACUCCUGCCCCCCGGACACCAUGGACCCUGAGUGACUGUUCAUGAGAGCCACCCUCAGGGAGGACAGGUGGGCUGCUCCCUGAUAGAGGAAGAAAGUUCUAGAACACGUGAGGCUGGCGACAAGAAUUCCAGGCUGAGGGGAACAUAUGAACCAAAAACAUGAUCUCUGGAGGCAGAACUCACAGACCAGGGAUGGGAACAGGGACUUUUGGAGUGACGGGAGCCCGGAGGGUAUGAAGGCUUGAAGGGGGAGAUAAGGCUGGGAAAUAAACUGGGGACCCAUGGAAGCCCCUCCAGACUUGGGGAGGGGCUGCAGCGUGAAGGCGUUUGUUUGGUGAAUUCACUGUGACCGGGCUGGGGCCAUGCAGAACAGCAAUAAUAAUAAUAAAGUGUUUCCUGAGUGGUCCAGGCUGGCCGCUCAACGAGUUCCAAGCCUUGACUGCCUCUGAUCCUGUCGCAGCCCUGUGAGGUGGGUGCAGUUAUCACCUCCACUUUAUAGGUGGAGUAACUGGGGCUCCAGCAAGACCACAGGGCAGUCAUUAGCAGAGGCUAGAUUUUAUUUUCCAUCAGAUACCCAGGAAGAAAACCAGGAAACACAGUGGUGGCUGCCCUGUGUGUGUCUGAGAGGCCAGGGGGCCAGGGUGGGGGGACACCGAAGAGUGGCAGAAAUGUAGCACAGUGGGUCGAGCUUCGGGGAAUAAACAGCUGUGCCGACAGGAAUACCGACCCACAUCGCUGAUCCAAGUUCCGAAAUCCAGGAAGCUCUGAAUCCCAGAGUUCCCUCAUGCGGUUCUUGGCAUCAAAAAUUGACCUGCAAUUUUCGGCAACAAAACUUCACCUGGCCGGUCAAAUCUUUGUCUCUUUCGAGGCCGAGGUAAAGCCCAGCGGGCCUUCCUGAUCGCGCCAUCUAGGACACGCUAAGCUGGACAAAGUUCCCUCAGUCGCCCCCCUACCCACCGAGACCCCCCCCCCGCCGGGCCCAGGAUGGAGCUGCAAGCACCCCUGUGUCUCUGCUCCCCUUUCUCUAAUUGAAGGGGUGGGCAGGCCUCGCCUUUCUCAUUCUCCGUGGCAUGUGCCUGCUUCUCGGGGUGGAGAUCAGAGCCUUUUGGAGCCUUGAUUCCCACGGGUGGGGGCCCGGGCAGCAUCCCUGCGCCCGCCCGCCCGCCCGCCGUCCAGGCGGCCCGAGCCGGCCGAGGGCUCAGCGUCUGCCUACUCACACCCCGGGGUGGGGAGGGAUUUCCAUGGGGCUUAUGGUGAUUUAUAAUGGGGAACCUCCGCUUUCCCCCGACAUUGUUCUCCCUGACAGAGGGAAGAAAGAAGGCAGUAAAUCUCCUCUCAUCAUAAGUGAUGAUGAAGCCGCCGCUCCGGCCCCGUCCGCGAUGCCCUCAACCGCGACAAACUGCUCUAUUGUCAUCUAUUACAUUUUUCUCAAAAAACCUUCAGCCGCGCACAAGGCCGGAGCCAUAUCCUUAACUGGCUCUUCCUCAUUGUCCGCGCCCGAGGGAAACAGAAUGUGUCAGUCUGAGUAAUGCUCUGUCAAUACUUCUCAGGAGGCUGCUCGAGCUGCGGCCCGGAUAAAGCCGUCCCCACGCUUUCUCAGGCCCCUCGGCCGGGAUGAAAGCUGCCCGCGUCGGAUGGCCAGGGCGCCACCACGCCACCUGCCCCACGGGGACACUUGGCCGGCCGGGCUGGUGGCCGUCCCCUCCUCCCCAAGUCGGUCUGGGGGCUACCAGGGGGGCUGGAGGGCUGGGGCAGGGUGGGCACCGGGGCGGGUUGGGGGAGGGAUGCUGGAGGGGCAAGCGGGGUCUCCUUAGGCACUGUCAGCAAUCAGAUGGGGCUCUGCCCUGCCAGGCCCGGGACAGACAAGUGGCAACUCCCAUAGGUCUGAAUCCUACAGCCCUUUACUUGGAAGUGCAUAGUUAGCAAAGCCCAGUCCAGCUGAUUACGUUGUUCUGGUGUCCAUUCACCACUCACUCGUCCAUCCCUUCCCUCGCAAUUCAUUCAUUGCCCCUUUGCCCGGUGCUUUAAUGGGUGGGUAAGGGGGUGCUACUACCUGUGGCUUCCAGGGGGUUGGGGGAGGGGAGUCUGCCAGCAGCUUGGCUCCCACCUGACACAGCCCUCACAGCACGACUGGCUACGUAGCCGGAGGGGCCGAAGCAAAAUGAAAAUGCAGCCCCAGUUCCAAAACGAUGACCAAUUCUAGACGGGACAGCUCGGCACGGCACCCGGCACGGAGCCCUUGGGACAGCUGCCCCGUGCGAUCACAUGGUUGCUGGCCGGCGAGGCUGCCCUGUUCUCGGGGACCUGGGCCGGAGGAAAGCAUGGAUCCCAGAGCAUCACAGGCCUGCCCCUGCCUGGCCAGUGAGGCUGGACUCACACACUCGUAUGUGAGCCUGCUGGGAAACUGGGGGUCAACCAGACAGCCCAAAGCCCCGGCCCCGCGCCAGUAUACUUCGCCUGGUCUGAGCGGUCACCUGCUGUCAGCUGUCACCCCCGAUGCUGUCGGCUGUGGCAUUUCGGUCCCUCACCGGUGGCUGCAGAGCCCGCUAGGCAGAGAGGCCUCAGAGAUCACCCCAACUGACCGAGGCCUGGGGCCAGGCUGGCUGCACCCCCGUGAGCCUCACGUCCCAGGAGCAGUGGGCUGGGACGGGGAGGCCCCCGCCUCCCCUGAGGACCCACCUACCGGGAAUCCUCCUCCUGGGGGACCUGGAACCACGACAGAGCCUUUCAGCCAGUGUGGGACCUAAGCCUUGGCACCAGGACAGGGCAUGUUCUUAGAGCUUCAUCCCUGCCCGAAAAAUGGGGUCAGUGAGGCCACGUGCAGGCUGGGAGGUGCUGAGGUGACAGCGCAGAGGUGACAGGGCAGGUGGGAAACCCCCAAACUGCCACCUCCUCCUGGCAAUUCUCUGUAUCCUGUGGUUGACAGGGUACCAACACCCACCACCAUGCCUUUGGUGAUGGGAGACGGCAGCACCUCCCAUCAAGAAGGGGGCGGGUCUCCCACCCCUUAAAUCCGGACCAGCGGUGACUUACUUUGACCAACAGAAUGUGGUGGAAGCAGCAGAGUGCCAACUCUGAGCCCCGGCCCCCAGGGCCCCACUUUCCUGUAUCCCAGGAUACAGAGUGCAGGCUAGCCCACCACCCCUCCGAGUACCCCUCCGAGGUACUCAGAAAGCACUUGCUGAGUUGGACGGGAUGAGAGUGAAAUGAGCUGAAUUGAAUGAACUGAACUGAAUUGAAAUGAACUAAAUUAAUCAAAUAAACAACACUCGAUUGUCUCGCUG